rnacentral:rRNA from 1 species
GCGACUAAGCGUACACGGUGGAUGCCCUGGCAGUCAGAGGCGAUGAAGGGCGUGCUAAUCUGCGAUAAGCGCCGGUAAGGUGAUAUGAACCGUUAUAACCGGCGAUACCCGAAUGGGGAAACCCAGUGUGAUUCGUCACACUAUCAUUAACUGAAUCCAUAGGUUAAUGAGGCGAACCGGGGGAACUGAAACAUCUAAGUACCCCGAGGAAAAGAAAUCAACCGAGAUUCCCCCAGUAGCGGCGAGCGAACGGGGAGGAGCCCAGAGCCUGAAUCAGCAUGUGUGUUAGUGGAAGCGUCUGGAAAGGCGCGCGAUACAGGGUGACAGCCCCGUACACAAAAGCGCAUGUGCUGUGAGCUCGAUGAGUAGGGCGGGACACGUGGUAUCCUGUCUGAAUAUGGGGGGACCAUCCUCCAAGGCUAAAUACUCCUGACUGACCGAUAGUGAACCAGUACCGUGAGGGAAAGGCGAAAAGAACCCCGGCGAGGGGAGUGAAAAAGAACCUGAAACCGUGUACGUACAAGCAGUGGGAGCACAGGUUUACCUGUGUGACUGCGUACCUUUUGUAUAAUGGGUCAGCGACUUAUAUUCUGUAGCAAGGUUAACCG